CAAUCAUAGAUAGUCCAAACUACACCUUUUUGUAAUCCUUAUCAUCAGACAAAUAUUGUGGGAUAUUUUUCAAUGAGAUUAGAGCAU